rnacentral:rRNA from 1 species
AUGAACGCUGGCGGCGUGCCUAAUACAUGCAAGUCGAGCGAACAGACGAGGAGCUUGCUCCUCUGACGUUCGCGGCGGACGGGUGAGUAACACGUGGAUAACCUACCUAUAAGACUGGGAUAACUUCGGGAAACCGGAGCUAAUACCGGAUAAUAUAUUGAACCGCAUGGUUCAAUAGUGAAAGACGGUUUUGCUGUCACUUAUAGAUGGAUCCGCGCCGCAUUAGCUAGUUGGUAAGGUAACGGCUUACCAAGGCGACGAUGCGUAGCCGACCUGAGAGGGUGAUCGGCCACACUGGAACUGGGACACGGUCCAGACUCCUACGGGAGGCAGCAGUAGGGAAUCUUCCGAGAUGGGCGAAAGCCUGACGGAGCAACGCCGCGUGAGUGAUGAAGGUCUUCGGAUCGUAAAACUCUGUUAUUAGGGAAGAACAAUGUGUAAGUAACUAUGCACGUCUUGACGGUACCUAAUCAGAAAGCCACGGCUAACUACGU